AGAGGGUGCGAGCGUUAAUCGGAUUUACUGGGMGUAAAGCGUGCGUAGGCGGCUGAUUAAGUCGGAUGUGAAAUCCCUGAGCUUAACUUAGGAAUUGCAUUCGAUACUGGUCAGCUAGAGUAUGGGAGAGGAUGGUAGAAUUCCAGGUGUAGCGGUGAAAUGCGUAGAGAUCUGGAGGAAUACCGAUGGCGAAGGCAGCCAUCUGGCCUAAUACUGACGCUGAGGUACGAAAGCAUGGGGAGCAAACAGGAUUAGAUACCCUGGUAGUCCAUGCCGUAAACGAUGUCUACUAGCCGUUGGGGCCUUUGAGGCUUUAGUGGCGCCASUAACGCGAUAAGUAGACCGCC
rnacentral:rRNA from 1 species